rnacentral:rRNA from 1 species
UGGGGAAUAUUGCACAAUGGACGAAAGUCUGAUGCAGCGACGCCGCGUGGAGGAUGAAGGUUUUCGGAUCGUAAACUCCUGUUGAGUGGGAAGAAAGACCUUUACCUAAUACGUAAAGGGGAUGACGGUACCACUAAAGAAAGCACCGGCAAACUUCGUGCCAGCAGCCGCGGUAAUACGAAGGGUGCAAGCGUUAUUCGGAGUUACUGGGCGUAAAGAGCGCGUAGGCGGUUCUUUAAGUCAUGUGUUAAAUCUCCCGGCUUAACCGGGAACAUGCAUGUGAUACUGAAGAGCUAGAGUAUAAGAGAGAGAAGCGGAAUUCUCGGAGUAGCGGUAAAAUGCGUAGAUCUCGAGAGGAACACCGGAAGCGAAGGCGGCUUCUUGGCUUAUAACUGACGCUGAAGUGCGAAAGCGUGGGGAGCAAACAGG